rfam:Mesocricetus auratus contig013719, whole genome shotgun sequence.
GGGCAUGAGGGUGAUCUGUCUGCAUCAUCUGUUGCUGCACUGAUUCCAGGGUUGAUUCUGGUCAUCUAGUCAGCUACACAGAUGUCCCCUCUUCAUGUCACUCACAGGUGUCUCUCCAGGAGAAACACUCUCCACAAAGACAACCUUCCUUUGAACAUAGGAUGGAUGGCCUGUCACCAAUAUACCAGCAUCUCACUUCUCUGCUAGAAACUCCAAACAAACUCUUGAAUUCAAGGUUUGCUCUUACUUCAUGUGAAAUGCUUUGUUUUUAUUUCUGAUUAUACCAAUAGUGAUAUAUCCUACUACCCUGU